UACGGAGGAUGCAAGCGUUAUCCGGAAUUAUUGGGCGUAAAGCGUCCGCAGGUGGUUUAUCAAGUCUGCUGUCAAAGCGCGAGGCUUAACUUCGUAAAGGCAGUGGAAACUGAUAGACUGGAGUGCGGUAGGGGCAGAGGGAAUUCCCAGUGUAGCGGUGAAAUGCGUAGAUAUUGGGAAGAACACCGGUGGCGAAGGCGGUUCUCUGGGCAUUACCUGACGCUGAGGAGCGAAAGUGUGGGGAGCGAACAGG
rnacentral:rRNA from 1 species